rnacentral:rRNA from 1 species
AUGGCGGGAGGUACCCAUGGCGCACGGAGGCGGCCCCGCUGGAGACCACGACUUGCUGCAAUCCUGCCGCAGUUAGUUGAUUUUGCCACGAGCGAGGGGAGUCACAGCCACCAGCAGUUCAUUCUCGCCAUGGUGCACCACCAUUGUUGCGAGCCGGAGGAGGCAACGACGGCCACUCACAUCGUCACCACCGGUGCUGCAACGCAGCAAGAAGGCCAGAGGGCAACGCCGCUCGCCUCCGGUGCUGCAACGCAGCAGAGAGGAGGCCGAGCUGCUUGCCGCCUGUGUUGCAACGCAGCGCUAAGGACGGCGGCGCCCGCCGCCGGUGCUGCAACGAAGCACAUGGGAGGAGGCUGUACUGCGUGCCAUUAG